GCAUAUCAAUAAGCGGAGGAAAAGAAACCAACAGGGAUUGCCCUAGUAACGGCGAAGUGAAGCGGCAACAGCUCAAAUUUGAAAUCUGGCGCAAGCCCGAGUUGUAAUUUGUAGAGGAUGCUUCUGGGUAGCGACCGAUCUAAGUUCCUUGGAACAGGACGUCAUAGAGGGUGAGAAUCCCGUAUGUGACCGGCCCGCACCCUUUACGUAGCUCCUUCGACGAGUCGAGUUGUUUGGGAAUGCAGCUCUAAAUGGGAGGUAAAUUUCUUCUAAAGCUAAAUACCGGCCAGAGACCGAUAGCGCACAAGUAGAGUGAUCGAAAGAUGAAAAGUACUUUGGAAAGAGAGUUAAAAAGCACGUGAAAUUGUUGAAAGGGAAGCGCCUGCAACCAGACUUCGCGGCAGUGUUCCGCCGGUCUUCUGACCGGUUCAUUCUCUGUCGCGAGGCCAUCAUCGUCUGGGCCCGCCGGAUAAGACCUGAGGAAUGUGGCUCCCCCUCGGGGGAGUGUUAUAGCCUCUGGUGAUGCGGCGUGGCUCGGGCGAGGUCCGCGCUUCGGCAAGGAUGAUGGCGUAAUGGUUGUCGGCGGCCCGUCUUGAAACACGGACCAAGGAGUCUAACAUCUAUGCGAGUGUUCGGGUGUCAAACCCCUACGCGUAAUGAAAGUGAACGGAGGUGGGAACCGCAAGGUGCACCAUCGACCGAUCCUGAUGUCCUCGGAUGGAUUUGAGUAAGAGCAUAGCUGUUGGGACCCGAAAGAUGGUGAACUAUGCCUGAAUAGGGUGAAGCCAGAGGAAACUCUGGUGGAGGCUCGCAGCGGUUUCUGACGUGCAAAUCGAUCGUCAAAUUUGGGUAUAGGGGGCGAAAGACUAAUCGAACUAUCUAGUAGCUGGGUUCUGUGA
rnacentral:rRNA from 1 species